UGGGGAAUUUUGCACAAUGGGGGAAACCCUGAUGCAGCGACGCCGCGUGAUUUAGAAGGCCUUCGGGUUGUAAAAAUCUUUUCUAUGGGAAGAAAAUGACAGUACCAUAGGAAUAAGGACCGGCUAAUUACGUGCCAGCAGCCGCGGUAAUACGUAAGGUCCGAGCGUUGUCCGGAAUCAUUGGGCGUAAAGGGUACGUAGGCGGGAAAGCAAGUUAGAAGUGAAAUCCUAUAGCUCAACUAUAGUAAGCUUUUAAAACUGCUCAUCUUGAGGUAUGGAAGGGAAAGUGGAAUUCCUAGUGUAGCGGUGAAAUGCGCAGAUAUUAGGAGGAAUACCGGUGGCGAAGGCGACUUUCUGGCCAUAACCUGACGCUGAGGUACGAAAGCGUGGGUAGCAAACAGG
rnacentral:rRNA from 1 species